CCAGAGAUGGCGGGCCCCCGCGCCCCCGUCCCCAACCCUUUGUUGACAACCCAUUUUGCCUCGGGGGCAGAGCGUCCGCCGCCGCCCCCGGAGGACCACCGAACGCUGUCUCUGUACGUCGGAGUAUUGAUUAAAUGAAUGA
rnacentral:misc_RNA from 1 species